rnacentral:SRP_RNA from 1 species
UUGUGCUAGGUGGGGAGCUAGCGGUGCCCUUUACCCGAAAUCCGCUUUAUGCGGGGCUGAAUUCCCUCCUGAGGGUUGUCCCUAUAUUUCAUCUGUCAUACUGACCGGUCGCCGAGCAACAAACGGUCGCGAACCUCGUCAGGUCCGGAAGGAAGCAGCGAUAAGUGAUGCGGUUUGUGUCUCGGAUCGAUCCCGGUCAAUGUAUUGUCGGUGAAAACGUGGGAUUUUUCGAUGGAGGGUGCACAA